rnacentral:tRNA from 1 species
GCCUGGGUGGCUCAGUCGGUUGAGCAUCUGACUUUGGCUCAGGUCAUGAUCUCACAGCUCGUGAGUUCAAGCCCCGCCUCAGGCU